UACGUAGGUGGCAAGCGUUGUCCGGAAUUACUGGGUGUAAAGGGCGUGUAGGCGGGAAGGCAAGUCAGAUGUGAAAUCCCAGGGCUUAACUCUGGAGCUGCAUCUGAAACUGUUUUUCUUGAGUACUGGAGAGGAAAGUGGAAUUCCUAGUGUAGCGGUGAAAUGCGUAGAGAUUAGGAGGAACACCAGUGGCGAAGGCGGCUUUCUGGACAGUAACUGACGCUGAGGCGCGAAAGCGUGGGGAGCAAACAGGAUUAGAUACCCGGGUAGU
rnacentral:rRNA from 1 species